rnacentral:rRNA from 1 species
UACGAAGGGGGCUAGCGUUGCUCGGAAUCACUGGGCGUAAAGCGCUCGUAGGCGGAUUGUUAAGUCGGGGGUGAAAUCCUGGAGCUCAACUCCAGAACUGCCUUUGAUACUGGCGAUCUUGAGUCCGGGAGAGGUGAGUGGAACUGCGAGUGUAGAGGUGAAAUUCGUAGAUAUUCGCAAGAACACCAGUGGCGAAGGCGGCUCACUGGCCCGGUACUGACGCUGAGGUGCGAAAGCGUGGGGAGCAAACAGG